GACGGGGGAUGCGAGCGUUAUCCGGAAUGAUUGGGCGUAAAGGGUCCGCAGGUGGCCCGGUCAGUCCGCUGUCAAAGCCUGGGGCUCAACCCUGGAGAGGCGGCGGAGACCACCGGGCUUGAGUCCGGUAGGGGCAGAGGGAAUUCCCGGUGGAGCGGUGAAAUGCGUAGAGAUCGGGAAGAACGCCAGGGGCGAAGGCACUCUGCUAGGCCUGAUUUCGCGACUGACACUCAGGGACGAGAGCCAGGGGAGCGAAUGGG
rnacentral:rRNA from 1 species